rnacentral:rRNA from 1 species
CAUUGACCCUUCGGGUGAUUUGUUGGGCGUCGAGCGGCGGACGGGUGAGUAAUGCUUANGAAUUUGCCCAGUCGAGGGGGACAACAGUUGGAAACGACUGCUAAUACCGCAUACGCCCUUCGGGGGAAAGCAGGGGACCUUCGGGCCUUGCGCGAUUGGAUAAGCCUAAGUGAGAUUAGCUAGUUGGUGAGGUAAUGGCUCACCAAGGCGACGAUCUCUAGCUGGUCUGAGAGGAUGAUCAGCCACACUGGAACUGAGACACGGUCCAGACUCCUACGGGAGGCAGCAGUGGGGAAUAUUGCACAAUGGGCGAAAGCCUGAUGCAGCCAUGCCGCGUGUAUGAAGAAGGCCUUCGGGUUGUAAAGUACUUUCAGCAGUGAGGAAGGGNNNGNAGUUAAUAGCUGCNNAUCUUGACGUUAGCUGCAGAAGAAGCACCGGCUAACUCCGUGCCAGCAGCCGCGGUAAUACGGAGGGUGCGAGCGUUAAUCGGAAUUACUGGGCGUAAAGCGCAUGCAGGUGGUUUGUUAAGUCAGAUGUGAAAGCCCGGGGCUCANCCUCGGAAUUGCAUUUGAAACUGGCAGGCUAGAGUACUG